GACGAACGCUGGCGGCGUGCUUAACACAUGCAAGUCGAACGGAAAGGCUCCAGCUUGCUGGAGUGCUCGAGUGGCGAACGGGUGAGUAACACGUGGGCAAUCUGCCCUGCACUCUGGGAUAAGCCUGGGAAACUGUGUCUCAUACCGGAUUGGACCCUUCUCCCUCCGGGGUUUUGUGGAAAGUUUUUCGGUGCAGGAUGAGCCCGCGGCCUAUCAGCUUGUUGGUGGGGUAAUGGCCUACCAAGGCGACGACGGGUAGCCGGCCUGAGAGGGUGAUCGGCCACAUUGGUACUGAGAUACGGCCCAGACUCCUACGGGAGGCAGCAGUGGGGAAUAUUGCACAAUGGGCGAAAGCCUGAUGCAGCGACGCCGCGUGAGGGAUGACGGCCUUCGGGUUGUAAACCUCUUUCAGUAGGGACGAAGCGCAAGUGACGGUACCUGCAGAAGAAGCACCGGCUAACUACGUG
rnacentral:rRNA from 1 species